AGGCAUUGAGGCAGCCAGCGCAGGGGCUUCUGCUGAGGGGGCAGGCGGAGCUUGAGGAAACCGCAGAUAAGUUUUUUUCUCUUUGAAAGAUAGAGAUUAAUACAACUACUUAAAAAAUAUAGUCAAUAGGUUACUAAGAUAUUGCUUAGCGUUAAGUUUUUAACGUAAUUUUAAUAGCUUAAGAUUUUAAGAGAAAAUAUGAAGACUUAGAAGAAAAAAAGAAAAAGCUAAGGGCAAAAUGUACAAACUUAGAAGAAAAUUGGAAGAUAGAAACAAGAUAGAAAAUGAAAAUAUUGUCAAGAGUUUCAGAUAGAAAAUGAAAAACAAGCUAAGACAAGUAUUGGAGAAGUAUAGAAGAUAGAAAAAUAUAAAGCCAAAAAUUGGAUAAAAUAGCACUGAAAAAAUGAGGAAAUUAUUGGUAACCAAUUUAUUUUAAAAGCCCAUCAAUUUAAUUUCUGGUGGUGCAGAAGUUAGAAGGUAAAGCUUGAGAAGAUGAGGGUGUUUACGUAGACCAGAACCAAUUUAGAAGAAUACUUGAAGCUAGAAGGGGAAGUUGGUUAAAAAUCACAUCAAAAAGCUACUAAAAGGACUGGUGUAAUUUAAAAAAAACUAAGGCAGAAGGCUUUUGGAAGACUAGGAAGAAGGAAGGAGCGCUAACGAUUUGGUGGUGAAGCUAGGAAAAAGGAUUCCAGGAAGGAGCGAGUGCAAUUUGGUGAUGAAGGUAGCAGGCGGCUUGGCUUGGCAACCACACGGAGGAGGCUUAUACUCAUGAAUCUUGUCUGAAGCUUUUGAGGGCAGACUGCCAAGUCCUGGAGAAAUAGUAGAUGGCAAGUUUGUGG
rnacentral:lncRNA from 10 species